rnacentral:rRNA from 1 species
GGGUUGUGAGGUUAAGCGACUAAGCGUACACGGUGGAUGCCCUGGCAGUCAGAGGCGAUGAAGGACGUGCUAAUCUGCGAUAAGCGUCGGUAAGGUGAUAUGAACCGUUAUAACCGGCGAUUUCCGAAUGGGGAAACCCAGUGUGAUUCGUCACACUAUCAUUAACUGAAUCCAUAGGUUAAUGAGGCGAACCGGGGGAACUGAAACAUCUAAGUACCCCGAGGAAAAGAAAUCAACCGAGAUUCCCCCAGUAGCGGCGAGCGAACGGGGAGCAGCCCAGAGCCUGAAUCAGUGUGUGUGUUAGUGGAAG